UAGUUAUAUAGUCUAAAGAGGAUAUUAAAUUGCAAAUUUAAAGGUAAAGUUAUUUUAUUACU
rnacentral:tRNA from 1 species